rnacentral:rRNA from 1 species
AGUGGGGAAUCUUGGACAAUGGGCGCAAGCCUGAUCCAGCCAUGCCGCGUGAGUGAUGAAGGCCUUAGGGUCGUAAAGCUCUUUCGCCAGAGAUGAUAAUGACAGUAUCUGGUAAAGAAACCCCGGCUAACUCCGUGCCAGCAGCCGCGGUAAUACGGAGGGGGUUAGCGUUGUUCGGAAUUACUGGGCGUAAAGCGCACGUAGGCGGAUCAGAAAGUAUGAGGUGAAAUCCCGGGGCUCAACCCCGGAACUGCCUUGUAAACUCCUGGUCUUGAGUUCGAGAGAGGUGAGUGGAAUUCCGAGUGUAGAGGUGAAAUUCGUAGAUAUUCGGAGGAACACCAGUGGCGAAGGCGGCUCACUGGCUCGAUACUGACGCUGAGGUGCGAAAGUGUGGGGAGCAAA